CCGGGAAGUGGCCAACGAGGAGCGGGCCAUGUUCCUGAUCAGCGCCUCUUUGAAGGGGCCUAGAGAUGUACGAGAUACACACCGGCUCCAAGGAGGACAGGAACUUCUGGAUGGCGCAGAUUCCGCCAGGCGGUGGAGAGCUGCCCCGACGAAGAGGAAGGCGUCCUCGCCGACCUGGAGGAGGAACGCAAGGAGGCCGAAGCCAGGGCCGCGAAGCUGAAAGACUUCCAACAGCGCCUGAGCGCGAAAGACGAGCAGAUUGUGCAGAGCCUGAACGAGAAGCAGCAGAUCUACUUGGAGAUGGCCGAGACGUACGGCUUCGAGGACCCGGGCCUCUUGCGCCCCCCUCUCCUUGUCCCGAAGGCCGAGUCCCCGGAGGACCUCCACGGGGAAGCCAUCCUCAAGCAGGCCGUGGAGCAAGUUGGUCACGGGAUCUCCUGUCAUUCCAGUGGAGAGCCUGCAGAGCUGGAUCGUGGCCCAGUUUGGGAGCGGAGCCGACCCCCGUCCCGAAGAGCCCAGCGGGGCCGGAGCCUUGAGGCGCGCAGAGACCUUUGGGGGCUACGACAGCGCCAUGGCGGGAACCCCGGCCAAAGGUACGUUCUAUAAUCUAUAUAUCUAUAUAUAUAAAAGGGUAAUGGAAUCGCGGCACCGGACAAAACGACUAAACUAAACGCCCCACAACCUUGAAAAUUGACAGCACAACCUCUCAUCCACGCCUCUACGUACCUCUAGGUCCCAAUAGGU
rnacentral:lncRNA from 11 species